CUAUCCCAUCGCCAUAUUGAACAAUAUGAUUGUUAAAACUUUCUGCACCUAUAGGGGUGUGAGUUGUUUUGUGAAUU
rnacentral:tRNA from 1 species